UCCGGAAUGACACCCUGUGUCUCGAACCCCCAAUAAUGGCUUCCGGUGCGACCAAACCCACUCUGAACCUCAUCAGCAAUGCAAACACCACCAGCCUUACGAACUGAUUCAUAUACCAACUUCAAGUAACCGGGAGCCAACUCAACUGCUCCUCCAACUCCCUGAAAAGUCUCGGCAAUAAAUCCUGCAACUUUUCCAGAUGUCCCAUAAUCGAUAUGAUCUUGUACUUCUUUGGCAUACCGUGCAGCAUCAGAACCAAAUACCCCACGAUACGGGUCGGGAUGCAUUACAUGGUGAAUUUCACCCUGAGGUAUCGGGUACUUCCAUGUAUUCAGCGCUGUCAACCCUAUCGUUCCAGCACUUCCGCCAUGAUACGCAUUUCUCAAUGCUAGCAUGCUAAGAUUACCCGUAUACAGCCGAGCCAUCAUCGUCGCCAGUUCAUUCGCCUCGGUCCCGGAAUUAACAAAAUAAACCACCUUCAGGUUCCCCGGCAUUUUAGCUGCCAGUGCUUCAGCAUACUCCGCAAUUGCAUGAUGAAGAUAUAUCGUAGUAGUAUGCUGGAGCAGCUUAGUUUGCUCGACGAUGGCGUCCACGACAUCCGGGUGGCAGUGCCCGCAGGACACCGUCACGAUCCCCGCAAAGGCGUCGAGGUACCGCUUCCCGGCCUCAUCGUACAGGUACUGCAUCCUCCCCUCCACGAUGUUGAGUGGCUUCUGGUAGUAGUAGAAGAGGGAAGGGCCGAGGAAGGUUUUGCGCUUGUGGAGGAUCUCGUCGGCGAGGAUGCCGUUGUAGGGGCGGGGCUGGUGGGAGAAGGGGGGAAGCGUUGGUGGAGAGGUGGAGAGCGCGCGUCGGAGCGGAGAGGAUGAUCGAAGAGCUCUCCGGAUGAGCAUGGCGGCGGCGGCGCCGGCGGCGGCGGCGCCGGCGGCGAGUUUUG
rnacentral:misc_RNA from 1 species